rnacentral:rRNA from 1 species
UACGGAGGGGGCUAGCGUUGUUCGGAAUUACUGGGCGUAAAGCGCACGUAGGCGGCUUUGUAAGUUAGAGGUGAAAGCCCGGGGCUCAACUCCGGAAUUGCCUUUAAGACUGCAUCGCUAGAAUUGUGGAGAGGUAAGUGGAAUUCCGAGUGUAGAGGUGAAAUUCGUAGAUAUUCGGAAGAACACCAGUGGCGAAGGCGACUUACUGGACACAUAUUGACGCUGAGGUGCGAAAGCUAGGGUAGCAAACGGG